UACGUAGGGCGCAAGCGUUGUCCGGAAUUAUUGGGCGUAAAGCGCACGUAGGCGGUUCGUUAUGUCGGAUGUGAAAGCCCUUGGCUUAACCGAGGAAGUGCAUCCGAAACUGGCGAGCUAGAGUACGAAAGAGGAUCGCGGAAUUCCCGGUGUAGAGGUGAAAUUCGUAGAUAUCGGGAGGAACACCGGUGGCGAAGGCGGCGAUCUGGGUCGAUACUGACGCUGAGGUGCGAAAGCGUGGGGAGCAAACAGG
rnacentral:rRNA from 1 species